rnacentral:rRNA from 1 species
AGCAGCCGCGGUAAUUCCAGCUCCAAUAACGUAUAUUAAAGUUGUUGCAGUUAAAAAGCUCGUAGUUGAAUUUCGGGAUCAGUGCGCUGGUCGUGCCUUCGGUAUGUACUGGUGUUACUGGUUUCUACCUUCUGAAGAACCGUCAUGUCAUUAGUUUGGUGUGGCGGGGAAUCAGGACUGUUACUUUGAAAAAUUAGAGUGUUUAAAGCAGGCUCGCGCUUGAAUACAUUAGCAUGGAAUAAUGAAAUAGGACGUUUGAUCCUAUUUUGUUGGUUUCUAGGAUUGACGUAAUGAUUAAUAGGGAUAGUUGGGGGCAUUAGUAUUCAAUUGUCAGAGGUGAAAUUCUUGGAUUUAUUGAAGACUAACUACUGCGAAAGCAUUUGCCAAGGAUGUUUUCAUUAAUCAAGAACGAAAGUUAGGGGAUCGAAGACGAUCAGAUACCGUCGUAGUCUUAACCAUAAACUAUGCCGACUAGGGAUCGGAUGAUGUAAUUUUUAAUGACUCAUUCGGCGCCUUAAC